rnacentral:rRNA from 1 species
CGGACGGGUGAGUAACGCGUGAGAAUCGGCCCUCAGGUUGGGGACAACCAUUGGAAACGGUGGCUAAUACCGAAUAAGCCGAAAGGUGAAAGAUUAAUUGCCUGGGGAAGAGCUCGCGUCUGAUUAGCUAGUUGGUGGGGUAAAGGCCUACCAAGGCACCGAUCAGUAACUGGUCUGAGAGGAUGGCCAGUCACACUGGGACUGAGACACGGCCCAGACUCCUACGGGAGGCAGCAGUGGGGAAUUUUCCGCAAUGGGCGCAAGCCUGACGGAGCAAUACCGCGUGGGGGAGGAAGGCUCUUGGGUCGUAAACCUCUUUUCUCAGGGAAGAACACAAUGACGGUACCUGAGGAAUCAGCAUCGGCUAACUCCGUGCCAGCAGCCGCGGUAAUACGGAGGAUGCAAGCGUUAUCCGGAAUGAUUGGGCGUAAAGCGUCCGCAGGUGGCAGUGUAAGUCUGCUGUCAAAGGUCAGGGCUUAACCCUGAACAGGCAGUGGAAACUACACAGCUAGAGUGCGGUGGGGGCAGAGGGAAUUCCCAGUGUAGCGGUGAAAUGCGUAGAGAUUGGGAAGAACACCGGUGGCGAAAGCGCUCUGCUAGGCCGCAACUGACACUCAUGGACGAAAGCUAGGGGAGCGAAUGGGAUUAGAUACCCCAGUAGUC